ACAUGCAGAGAACUUUCCAGAGAUGGAUUGGUGCCUUCGGGAACUCUGACACAGGUGCUGCAUGGCUGUCGUCAGCUCGCGUCGUGAGAUGUUGGGUUAAGUCCCGUAACGAGCGCAACCCUUGUCCUUAGUUACCAGCACGUUAUGGUGGGCACUCUAAGGAGACUGCCGGUGACAAACCGGAGGAAGGUGGGGAUGACGUCAAGUCAUCAUGGCCCUUACGGCCUGGGCUACACACGUGCUACAAUGGUCGAUACAAAGGGCAGCGACACUGCGAGGUGAAGCCAAUCCCGUAAAAUCGGUCUCAGUCCGGAUUGGAGUCUGCAACUCGACUCCAUGAAGUUGGAAUCGCUAGUAAUCGUGGAUCAGCAUGCCACGGUGAAUACGUUCCCGGGCCUU
rnacentral:rRNA from 1 species